AUACGUAGGGGGCGAGCGUUGUCCGGAAUGAUUGGGCGUAAAGGGCGCGUAGGCGGCCCGGUAAGUCUGGAGUGAAAGUCCUGUUUUUAAGAUGGGAAUUGCUUUGGAUACUGUCGGGCUUGAGUGCAGGAGAGGUAAGUGGAAUUCCCAGUGUAGCGGUGAAAUGCGUAGAGAUUGGGAGGAACACCAGUGGCGAAGGCGAAGUACUGGACUGUAACUGACGCUGAGGCGCGAAAGUGUGGGGAGCAAACAGGAUUAGAUACCCUGGUAGUCCACACUGUAAACGAUGAAUGCUAGGUGUAGGGGGUAUCGACCCCUUCUGUGCCGCAGUCAACACAAUAAGCAUUCCGCCUGGGGAGUACGGCCGCAAGGUUGGAACUCAAAUGAAUUGACGGGG
rnacentral:rRNA from 1 species